rnacentral:rRNA from 1 species
UACAGAGGGGGCAAGCGUUAUUCGGAAUUAUUGGGCGUAAAGGGCGCGUAGGCGGCUUUGCAAGUGACGGGUGAAAUCCCUCGGCUUAACCGAGGAACUGCCUGUCAAACUGCAUGGCUUGAGACCGGGAGAGGUGAGUGGAAUUCCCAGUGUAGCGGUGAAAUGCGUAGAUAUUGGGAGGAACACCGGUGGCGAAGGCGACAUCCUGGACCGGUAUUGACGCUGAGGCGCGAAAGCCAGGGGAGCAAACGGG